rnacentral:rRNA from 1 species
UACGUAGGGUGCGAGCGUUAAUCGGAAUUACUGGGCGUAAAGCGUGCGCAGGCGGUUUUGUAAGUCAGAUGUGAAAUCCCCGGGCUUAACCUGGGAACUGCGUUUGAAACUACAAGGCUAGAGUGUGGCAGAGGGGGGUGGAAUUCCACGUGUAGCAGUGAAAUGCGUAGAGAUGUGGAGGAACACCGAUGGCGAAGGCAGCCCCCCUGGGAUAACACUGACGCUCAUGCACGAAAGCGUGGGGAGCAAACAGG